AAGGGGCAUCCUUGACGUGUUCCUCUUUUGAUUAGGAAUCUAUCUGUGUUUAGGUUAUUUACAGUCAGAAACGUUGUGGGUGCAGAAUAUAGAUUUUUAUAUAGAUUAAAUAUAUUUAAGCCAAAAUGUUGGAAUUUCAAUGUACGUCGGAGGUGUGCAUGUGAUAUUCUAUCAAAAGCUUUGUCUGCAUGUAAGUUUAUUAGCAUGCCGUGGUUUCUUUUUUCCAGGUUACUGUAAUAGACAGUAAUUGACAGCUGUUAUAAUUUUCCGAAGUGCUGGAUGUCUAUUUUUAAGGAAGCCUACUUGAUGGUCGGUUCGUCAAGAAUUUCUCUGUCUUGAACAGUUAAUUUGGUCAAGUUGGCUUCUCUAAGGAAUUGCAAACCGUCAUGUGGAUCAUCUGUGGUGUUGUCAUAAAAGUUUUUAAAAUAUUCUGUUAGUGUGUUAGAAAUUUGUUUAGGAUCAUGUGUCCAUCCAUCUGAUGUCUUUAGUUUUGGGAUGAAUGUGUGUCGACUACUACGUUUGAUCAAUUGUGCCAAGAGUUUGCCUGAUUUGUUCCCAUAUCUAUAAAAAGUGUUCGUCGUAUGGCUAAGAGUUUUGUAAGCUUUUUCUGAUAAUAAAGUGUCAAAAAGUU